rnacentral:rRNA from 1 species
GACGAACGCUGGCGGCGUGCUUAACACAUGCAAGUCGAACGCUGAGGCUUGGUGCUUGCACUGGGUGGAUGAGUGGCGAACGGGUGAGUAAUACGUGAGUAACCUGCCCUUGACUCUGGGAUAAGCCUGGGAAACUGGGUCUAAUACUGGAUACGACAUGCCACUGCAUGGUGGUGUGUGGAAAGGGUUUUACUGGUUUUGGAUGGGCUCACGGCCUAUCAGCUUGUUGGUGGGGUAAUGGCCUACCAAGGCGACGACGGGUAGCCGGCCUGAGAGGGUGACCGGCCACACUGGGACUGAGACACGGCCCAGACUCCUACGGGAGGCAGCAGUGGGGAAUAUUGCACAAUGGGCGGAAGCCUGAUGCAGCGACGCCGCGUGAGGGAUGACGGCCUUCGGGUUGUAAACCUCUUUCAGCACGGAAGAAGCGAGAGUGACGGUACGUGCAGAAGAAGCGCCGGCUAACUACGUG